CAGUCCAGGGGAAGGAUCGUGCAGUGUGAUCUAGGCAGACUCUGCACCUCUGAUUCCUGCUACCCCUGCACAGAGGUUGCCACUUUCAGCUAGGAGGCUCUGCGCAGCGCCCAUUCUCCAAAGUGCUCAGCUGUUUGGAAGUCGUCAUUUGACUGGCUUUAGAAAAACUAUUCUUCAAGACUAAAACCACUUGCAACAUUCAGUGUUAGCAAAGAGUGAGCUGGGCUGCAAACUAGGUAAGAUUUUUCAGAAAACAACAUGACAAGCUUAGUGGCCUGUAGUUCUUUGAGCUCACUGUCCUUCCAUUAAAAAACAGCCUGCCAAAAUGGGGUUCGCUUUUCCCAAACUGCCCUAGAUAACCUGUCUGAUAUUGGCAGGACAUGCUGCCGGACAGCUGGCUAUGAUUCAAGGAAUUUCAUCACUAUUGUGCUUUGAAGACUAAUACUAAUAAUGCAAUGGAGAUUUUAGCAAUUCUUUCUUAAAUUUCC
rnacentral:lncRNA from 1 species